CACAGGAAUUCUGGAGGGGGCAGUGUGAUGGCAGGGAAGAUGACACAACUUGGAUUCCUCCCCCCUCAACGGCACUGGGCAGAGGAGAGCCCCCUCAGGGGGAGGAGCACCCUGACUACAUCACCUCAGACCUGGACAGCUGGGAUCACAAUCAAGCUAGCACCACCGUGGGCAGGACAGACAGACAGAAAGACAGCUCAGGCCUGCGCUGGAAGCAGAAACUGAAUUCUCCUGGCCCGCCGCGAGGAGACCAGCGUCUUGCCCCCACCCCAGGUGGGUAUCCGGGAUCCCUACACACCAGGAGUCCAGCCGCUAAGCCCAGCAGGAGUGAAACCCCCAGGGCCUGUGAACGUGGCCCUCUCAACGCCACGGCCUGCAUUCCCUCCGGCCCCCUGCCCUGCGCCCCGCAGCAAACGGGGCUAUUUCCGCUCCCCCAACCCGAUCUGGUUUCCCAGCCUGGGGAGUGGCUGGAGGGGGAGCGGCCCCAGAGCUA
ensembl:lncRNA